GGGUUGGGCAAUUCUGGGUUUGGGAUUCCUGCAGAGCUGCAGCAUUGAGCUGUUUUUUGUUUGCACCUUUUUUUACCAACCAAUUAGCAAACCAAUUAACACCCAGCAGGCCAGGUGAGCAGAGCGGUUGGCAGCCCGACAACGCACCUGGCACCAAUUACACGAAGUGAACAAGCCGGUGACUCUGAGCGUAUCUGCGCCUGACCCCGUUCUCUCCGAGAGCCAGGCUCUGUGUGGGACCCUGGCCUGUGUGAACACCGUGACCUUGAGCCUCAGCUGUACGGCGAAGGCCUCAAACUGACGCUCCCCGCUGGGGGUGUCCGGGUCAGCACUUCGGGAGGGAACGCACGGGAGCGCACGGUGUUUCCGCGCGUGGAGCUCUUCUCGUUUCGGACGAGCGCCUCAUUCGCUCUCGCCCGAGCCUCCACCUGGCGAACGACAGCGGAGGCUCUUGCCUUUCCUCUGGUCCGACGCCGCAGACGACAGGUCCCGCGGACUUUAAUUUACGCGUCCCUUCAGAGCCGAUGGAGAGGAGAACCGUGCGCUUCCUGGUUGCUUUUGCAAAUCGUGCGUUUAAGUGUGAUGGAUGACCUGGCCCGAGUCCUCGGCUAACUCCACCAGUCGGUGUCGCAGACUUCCUACCCAGCAGCCUCGAGUGCAAAUCCCACACAGGGAACCUCUUUCCUGUGUUUCUGAAACGCAGCUGUUUCUGGGCCAGAUGUAAGCAGCCGCAAUAUUUUCAGUGUUGUUUUUCUUUUUCUUUUUGGAAGCCAAGUUAUGCAGCACGUACAGUGAAAAGCGCUCCCCCUGUCUGUCUAGCUGCUGGAGGCAUGCACGCACACAGCACAGGCAGCCUGAUGGACAGACCUUGGCUUGGGUUUCCCCUCUGGGCUAAUGUUAAAGUCUUAACUUUUAUCAAUUACACCUUCAUAUAGCGGUCAGAGAAGGACAGAUGAGCCUUCCUAUGCUGGGGCCUGCUACGUUUAUUGAAUUACCUCUGUGUUAUAGGUUCAAAUACUACCAGGGGACAUUUUUAUUUCCCAUGGUGCUCUCUGUAACACAGCCCUAAAUUGUAUACCUUCUUUCACCGUGGAAGAGUAAGCGACACUUACUCUCACUUUGGCCGAGGCUCUUGUGUUUCCCCCAGCUGAAAUCCGACACAAAAUGAAAGCCUACAUGUGAGACAGCCUUGUUAUGCUUCAGAAGUGAAUUCUGUGGCUGAAAGAUUGCUCGAGACCGGUGAUUUAACAGAGGUGAGGACCAACCUGAACCAAAGACGACAUUUAGUCAUUUGAUUAAAAGGUACAUAUAUAGCUAGCACUCAUACACAGAAGACACAGACAUGUUGUUUGUUUGACUGAAACAAGUGUGAAGUGAGAGGAAGUGAUUUUUGUUCAGGGGGUGAAAUCUCUGUGUACUGCAUCUGAUUAUAAGAU